rnacentral:rRNA from 1 species
UACGUAGGGCGCAAGCGUUGUCCGGAAUUAUUGGGCGUAAAGAGCUCGUAGGCGGUUUGUCGCGUCUGCUGUGAAAACCUAAGGCUCAACCUUGGGCUUGCCAGUGGGUACGGGCAGACUAGAGUGCGGUAGGGGUGACUGGAAUUCCUGGUGUAGCGGUGAAAUGCGCAGAUAUCAGGAGGAACACCGGGUGGCGAAGGCGGGUCUCUGGGCC